rnacentral:rRNA from 1 species
GACCAGCGGAGGGAUCAUUACCGAGUUUACAACUCCCAAACCCCUGUGAACAUACCUAUACGUUGCCUCGGCGGAUCAGCCCGCGCCCCGUAAAACGGGACGGCCCGCCCGAGGACCCCUAAACUCUGUUUUUAGUGGAACUUCUGAGUAAAACAAACAAAUAAAUCAAAACUUUCAACAACGGAUCUCUUGGUUCUGGCAUCGAUGAAGAACGCAGCAAAAUGCGAUAAGUAAUGUGAAUUGCAGAAUUCAGUGAAUCAUCGAAUCUUUGAACGCACAUUGCGCCCGCCAGUAUUCUGGCGGGCAUGCCUGUUCGAGCGUCAUUUCAACCCUCAAGCUCAGCUUGGUGUUGGGACUCGCGGUAACCCGCGUUCCCCAAAUCGAUUGGCGGUCACGUCGAGCUUCCAUAGCGUAGUAAUCAUACACCUCGUUACUGGUAAUCGUCGCGGCCACGCCGUAAAACCCCAACUUCUGAAUGUUGACCUCGGAUCAGGUAGGAAUACCCGCUGAACUUAAGCAUAUCAAUAAGC